AGUGAACGCUGGCGGUAGGCCUAACACAUGCAAGUCGAACGGCAGCACAGUAAGAGCUUGCUCUUACGGGUGGCGAGUGGCGGACGAGUGAGGAAUACAUCGGAAUCUACUUUUUCGUGGGGGAUAACGUAAGGAAACUUACGCUAAUACCGCAUACGACCUACGGGUGAAAGCAGGGGAUCUUCGGACCUUGCGCGAUUGAAUGAGCCGAUGUCGGAUUAGCUAGUUGGCGGGGUAAAGGCCCACCAAGGCGACGAUCCGUAGCUGGUCUGAGAGGAUGAUCAGCCACACUGGAACUGAGACACGGUCCAGACUCCUACGGGAGGCAGCAGUGGGGAAUAUUGGACAAUGGGCGCAAGCCUGAUCCAGCCAUACCGCGUGGGUGAAGAAGGCCUUCGGGUUGUAAAGCCCUUUUGUUGGGAAAGAAAAGCAGCAGGUUAAUACCCCGCUGUUCUGACGGUACCCAAAGAAUAAGCACCGGCUAACUUCGUG
rnacentral:rRNA from 1 species